GGAGCAGGGGGGACGCGUGGUGCCGAUGACAGCGCCAUUUCCAGAGCUAUCAACAGUGUCAUUGUCAUAGCUCUUGGAAUGGUUCUGCCAUAAGCACUGGACUGCCAGACUGUGCUUG
rnacentral:pre_miRNA from 12 species